rnacentral:lncRNA from 1 species
AUGCUGUGUAUCCCAUCUCAGCUCUUUGCCAUGGAAACUAUGCUAAGGAGCCAGAAGAGCUACUAUCCCUGCAGCAGCAGCCACCAGCAGGACAAAAAGAAUGCUUCAAGAGGGCUGCCACAAAAAGGGACUGAGCCUGCAGCUCUUCCCUACUGCACUGUAAACUUGAUUCUCCAAAAACCCAUGAGAAGCUUCUGGCUAGUCCUGUUUUGGCUACAGUCCCCCAGUUUAUACAGUACAGAGGUGAAUUCACAUCCAGGAGGAGGGACUGGUAUGACUCCUUACAGUCACUUCCAACUGAAACAUUGUGUGCAGCCUUCAGAUGCCUGGGCUCACAACCACUCCUAA